AUGACAUUUUUACAAAAAACCCCUCCACUUUUGUCCGACCAAACCCGCAGUCCUCGUCGUGUCGCAGCGUCACUCCCCUCCCCGCAGCUUCCCGUCGUUGCGCUGCUUCCCUCCCCGCCGCGCCGCGCCGGUGAGCUCCCCCGCGCCGCUAAGCUCCCUCGCCCCGCUGAGAUCCCCCGCGCCUCCUCUCCCUCCUCCACGCCGCCGCGCCGCUCCAGUUCGCUGCGUAGCUCCUCCUCUCCCCUAAAAAUCCCUUCUUCCGGUGAGGUUCUCUUCGACGAGGCGCCGCUCGAUCUGGAGGAUAACGACAAGUUGGCGCUCGAUCUGGAGCAUGGCGACGGCAUGGGGCGGGCGCUCUCUUCCUCGAGCUCCUAAUCCACUAGCUCCUCUUCCUCCUCCAGGCCCUCCUCAACAUCGCCGGUGACGACGGCAUGGGGAAGACGACGGCGGCGGCUGCGGAAGUCGACCCCAACGAAGGCGGAUCCUCCUCAACAUCCCAGGCUCCUCCUCCUUCAGGUCCUCCUCGUGCUCAUCUAUCUUAUGCCAAGCCUGAAUUUGUACUGCCAAGUCUGAAAUUUUCAUCUUUAUUGUUAAGUCUGAAGUUAGCUGACAUGCUUCUCUGACUUGACAUGCUUGCAAUUUUGAUCACUAAGAGUGCUGCAACUAGAGUAUCUCAAUUUAUAACAGCACAUGUUGACCUUGCAGCAAGUUUACAAGGAUCUGCAUUUCUGUCAAACUAAAACAAGCAAACACUUAACUGAAUUUCUGUCAAACUAAGCAGCUGCAUUUCUGUCAAACUAAAGCAAGCAAACACUUAACUGAAGCAAGCAAACACUUAACUGAAUUGCAAGCAAGCAAUUCUGAACAGCUGCUGGAAUCAUCAUGUGCAUUUCUGUCAAACUAAAGCAAGCAAACACUUAACUGAAUUUGCAAUGACAGGCUCUUUCACCUGUGAAAAAAUGAGGGUAAGAACUAACAAUGUGCAUAACUGAAUUUUUGGUCUGAUACCAAGAUCUCCUACUCCUGAUCAAUUGAACAAAACCCACUGUUGACUGUACCAAUUGAACAAAGCUGCAGGGCACAUUAUGUUAAAGAUUUCCUACUCAAGUGAUUUUUAGGGAGAGCACUUAAAAAAUUUAGUCAACAUUGAUUUAUGAGGGAGUAGAAUUUAACAGUAUGUAGAUAUAGUCUUGUUCAGAUCUUACUGAAGAAGAGAGAGGGUUAGUAAGCAGGGUUACUUCAGAGGCUUUGUUUUAGGAAUAAUUCAGUUAACUUAACAGGGGAUCUAACUGACUGAAUAAGUUUUAGGGACAUGUUUUUAUCAACUCUUAGUUAAGGGAUUGUGGCAGUUUUCUGCAGUCUAUCAGUUUGAAAUUGAAUUCCCUUGUUCUUAUUUCUGGAGCAUAGUAAAAUUUAGUGUAAUUGUAAUUUUGAUAUGGCUCCUCUUUUCUUGUGACAUGUACUCACUGAAUUUUAAUUGACAGUAAAAUUCAGUGUAAUUUUGGUUAACUGAAUUAAAUGUAAAUUCAGUUAACUCAUAAAAUUAAGUGAAACAUUUGGUCUGAUUGAAAUGCAACAAGUUUUUUGGGGGUCCUAAUCAGUUUUCUUACAAAAACUUGCUUAAAUGGCAGCAAGUAUGAAUACAGUGUAUGUUCUGUAGCUUGUUUAGAAAGAUCACUGAAUAAAGUUUCUUGGGGGUCCUAUUUCAGUGUAAAUAUUCUAUUUUCAGUGUAAAUGUUCUCUGUAAUAUUCUAUUUUCAGUAUCCUUAUUCAGUUUCUAAUGCAUACAGAAUACUUACACCUGAAUAUGAGGCCCUACCUGUGCAAUUGGACAAAUGGUGUAUAAAUCCAAAUAAAUUCAAAUGAUUCAAAUAAAUCCAAAUAAAUCCAAAUAAAUCCAAAUACUCUAUCCUUUCUUUUCCUAUCCUUUCUCAUUGAACACAUGACACAAUACAUACACACGACACAAAGCCAUACACAUGGCACAAGCCAUACACAUGGCACAAGCCAUACACAUGACACAUGACACAUCACAUACUCCUAUCCUUUCUUUUCCUUUUCCCUUUCCCUUUCUUUUUGAGCUUUCUCUAUCUACUCAUUUCCUUGUUCAAUAAUGGCCUUGGUGUCAGUAAUUAGCUCCGGACUGCAGUAUACACCGGUUAUUUUCUCUCCAGCAUUUUGUAGACGGUCCUUGUGUAGAUGCGGCAGCUUAUAGUUGUUUCCUCCUUUAUCUUUCAUCACUUCCACCAUGACUGCUUGCAACGUCAUAAAGCUUUUGAACAGCUUAUGGGGAUCGUAGUUCUCAAACUCCUCCUCUACACCCUGUACCAGUUCCUGUAUAUUCAUAGGCGCUCUGCAGUCGGUUAGGGAUUGGAGGGAGCAGUGGAAACAAAGAUCCAGAACAUUGAGCUCAGGGCUGUUUGGUGGUUGUUGCAAUAAUCGAAUAUCCAGAUCUGUCUGUGCCACGGCUUCUAGAAAACCAGCAUCAUUAGGGAGGACAUGCGGUGUUGCAUUAUCUUGUUGAAUAAAGAUCGUUGUGUCAUCGUCACCGUCCGGCCAUUUGUCUUGAAUGGCAGGGAUUACUUUAUUGAUCAAGUAAUCUCUGCACACAGGUCUAGUAACUUUGACCGGCUUCAACUCUAUUGUCCCCCUAUCUCUAUUCUGGCUUGUUCGUUGUGCCUCGGUCUGUACCACGAACGGCCAAAUGCCAAGUUUCCCAUCAAAUAUCAUCUCCCCAUCUUCAUUGUAGCGAGGUUUGGCUACAGCUGUUAGAAACAUUACCUUCCCAAUGCUAUGAGUAUUGUGCACAGUUCGGUUUGGUUCUUCUUCUCCAGGCAGUACGUAGUAGCUACUCUUCACUCGGGUCAUGUCAUACCAUUUCUCGUCGAUGUGGACCAUAUUUGUCAUUGGCUUGAAACUGGGCCGAGGACUUAAUAUCCAUCUUUCAUCCAUCAUGGAUAGGCAGAACUUUAGUCUCGCUAUCUUGUUCUGUGGCUUGAGGGUGGGUUUGAUGGUGCUUGUGAUGCGUUUCAGCUCUUGCAAUUGAAAUCUGUCAUGUAGGGUUGAUCGGGGCACACCUAAACACCUUGCUAGAGACCGGAUUGUUCUUCUUUUGUUCAAGGGGAUUGUGGCUGUUCUCGACAGAUCUAGUUCUUUUCUCUUCCUACCACUUUUGUUCUUCUUGCUUGAAACAUCAACUUCUUGGCCUGCUGCAAGUUGUCGUUUGGCUAGAUUCCAUAUUCUUGUAACUGUUCGCAAGUGAACAUUCAGCAUCGUCGCAAUGAGCACCUUGUCAUACACGUGAACCUGUCCAUCUCUAAGCUCGAUUACUCGCAGAGCAAAGUAAACACCAUGUCUCUCCUUGUCUGUCAAGUCCUUGCCUCUUGGAUUGCCAUGUGCAUCAGCUUCUUCCAAUUCUGCAUCUUCUUGUGCCUCUUGAGCUUCUUCCAAUUCUGCAUCUCCUUGUGCCUCUUGAGCUUCUUCCAAUUCUGCAUCUUCUUGUGCCUCUUCAGCUUCUUCCUCUUCAGGAAACCAAUUCAAUUCAAUGUCUUCAUCCUCAUCUUCCGGCAUCAAGUUCAAAUCAAUAGCAUCACCCUGUUGAGCUUGUUCUUCUUGUUGAGCUUCAUCCUCAUCUUCCGGCAUCAAGUUCAAAUCAAUAGCAUCACCCUGCUGAGCUUGUUCUUCUUCUUGAGCUUCGUCCUCCUCUUCCGGCAUCAAAUUCAAAUCCAUAGUUGUGUGCUCCUAUCUGAUCUCAUAACAAGAGUAUACAAAAGACGAAUGGUGAGCAUAUAAUCAUAACAAGAAAACCAUGAAGAAUCCUAGACAAAAAGCAAAGAAACCAAGAAAGAGAAAAGUAGAUAUUAAAAGUACUCCUUGUUCAUAAGCAACUACAGGUCCUACUACAUCUCUCUUUUUUGCAGGGACCAGGGCAGGAAUUAAAAAGCAAACAAAAGCAGGGGCCAUGAGUACAUCUCAAUUUUUGCUGUAUUUCUUGUUGACAACUAGUGCAGAGCAAGCAAGCAAGCAAUGUACACAGAUCAGUUAUGUUUUAAAUUACAGAGCAAGCAAGCAAGGCACUGGAGAUGAACAAAUUACAGAACCCUGUACUUGUUCUCACCAGCAGCAGCACGAGUAGGGGACCUCAAGCGGCAGCACACGAGAAGGGGAUCUCCGGGCGGCAGCACGAGCAGGGGAGGAGCAGCAAGUUGCGGAGAAGCAGCAGAAGGGGCUCCAGCUUGAGGUCCAGGAUCGCAAAAGAGCUUGAGGGAGCUCGUGGUCCAGGCGCGGCGGGAGCUCGUGGUCCAGGCGCUCGAGACCCAGGCGCGCGCGGGUCCUGGCCGGCGGCGGCGCAGGCCCUGCGAGGAAGGAGGGGAUAUCGUCGACGCAGGUCCUGGGCGGCGGAGGAGCACGUCUUGUGCGGUGACGGAGCAAGCAGGGCGGCGCAGGUCCUUGGCGACGGAGGAGCAGGCAGGGCGGCGCGGGUCCUGGGCCGCGGAGGAGCACGUCCUGUGCGGCAACGGAGAAAGCAGGGCGGCGCGGGUCCUGGGUCGCGGAGGAGCACGUCCAGUGCGGCGGCGGAGCAAGCAAUUGGGCGGCGCAGGUCUUGGGCUGACGACUGGCCUGGCGACGCGCGCCGGCGAUGGGCGGAGGAAGAAGGAAGAAGACGCGACCUGUAUGGUGACCUGUUUGUAACAAAUUUGAAGUUAUAAGGGUGUUUUUGAAAAAUUGACAUUACACUACGCUGUGGACAACUUUUCCCGGACGGAGGGAGUACCAUACUGCAUCUCCAGUUUUUCUCCCAAAUGAUUUGGAUUUAGCCGGAACAUCCGAAGCAGCUCACUGCUAUAUUCAGAAACUUGCUGAGUGGGUAUCUUUCCCCUGUGAUCUGAUCUGGACCCAGUUUACCCUUGAAACUGCACUAUCCCUGUAGAAUUUUGCAUUAUGGCUUGUUACCUUCUCUUCUUUUAAUUUAUUCAGAAUUUCAGAGGCUGUGACUUAUUCUAGCAUGUCCUGUUUCCAAAAUAUUCGACAUCAGCAACAUACCAGGAAGUUGAUCUGAUUUUUAAUCACUCAGCAAACUCUAAUCUAUCACAGUUAUUACAAGUAGUGCUGUAAUUUCAUAUGAAUCCUAUAAGAAUAUUCACGUGUUGUAUUUUACCUAAGAUUUAGUUCAUUGCCAAUUCCUCUAAACACUCCCUACAGUGUCCUAAACUUAUAUUUGAUUGAAAUUGUUGUUACAUUGUCCUGCAUGGAUCUGGUUGCAAGAUUAAUUGACAUGUGGUAUUUAUUUUCUUUGCCCUUGCAUGAAGUUAUCUUGAUCUCGACAUUUAUGUCUCUGAACUCCUGAGGAUAUUGCUGAGAAGACCAACGUGGUGUGGGAGCCAUCCAAGGAUUUUAAGCACCUGAACUUGAAUCUGCUCCAGAUGUCCGGGUUCGAGGAGGAAGACAAGGUGACAACCUAUAUAAGGCUUGUCAUCGAACAGGCUGUGGGGUUGAAGAAAAUCGAGCUGGAAGGUUACGGCCCAUGCAGGGGCUACAAUGCCACCGACCCUAACAGAAAAUCCCAGGUGGAUGAAGCUAGCAGGCAUCGGAUUAAGGAGCGACUCAAGCAUGGAUCCUCCUCAUCUGUGGACAUAAUAAUCUGAUGACAGGUAUGGUCAAGGAAUGUAAGUUUCAGAACGCCCGCAGCUGCUAGAUCAACGACUGUGUGCAGUCAGUUAUAAUUUUAAUUUUCAGUUAUCGAUAGGCCGAGAGUACUUGAUUGGUCUGAACCUCACAAUGUAGCUAGAUCAUGGUUUUCUCUUUCAA